rfam:Lepisosteus oculatus linkage group LG4, whole genome shotgun sequence.
GCCAGCAGCCAUGUCACCCUGCAACUUACCAUUGGCAGUCCACUGAAGCUAAGCAGAUGUGAGCCUGGUCAGUACCUGGAUGGGAGACCUCCUGGGAAAAACUAAGGUUGCUGCUGGAA